rnacentral:rRNA from 1 species
CCUGGCUCAGGACGAACGCUGGCGGCGUGCCUAAGCUUAUGCAAGUCGAACGCGAACGGCUCCUUCGGGAGCCUAGUAGAGUGGCAAACGGGUGAGUAACGCGUGGGUAACGUACCCUGAUCCUGGGAAUAACCCUCGGAAACGAGGGCUAAUACCGAAUGUGGCGAACGACCGGUUGGUCGCUCGCUAAAGGUGGCCUCUUCUAUGCUGCCGGGUUGGGAUCGGCCCGCGUCCCAUUAGCUAGUUGGUGAGGUAACGGCUCACCAAGGCCACGAUGGGUAGCCGGCCUGAGAGGGUGUACGGCCACACUGGCACUGAGACAAGGGCCAGUCCCCUAUGGGAGGCGCAGGCGGGAAUAGUUCACAAUGGGCGAAAGCCUGAUGACGCGACGCCGCGUGAGCGAAGAAGACCUUCGGGUUGUAAAGCUCUGUCAGGAGGGAAGAAGGCUCUACGGGUCAAUAGCCCGUGGGAUUGACGGUACCUCCAGAGGAAGCCCCGGCUAAAUACGUGCCAGCAGCCGCGGUAAUACGUAUGGGGCAAGCGUUGUCCGGAUUUACUGGGCGUAAAGGGCGCGUAGGCGGUUUGUUAAGUCGAAGGUGAAAUCCUCGGGCUCAACUCGAGAAUUGCCUUCGAUACUGGCAAACUAGAGUGGCGGAGAGGAAAGCGGAACUCUUGGUGUAACCGGUGGAAUGUGUAGAUGUCACGAGGAACACCGGUGGCGAAGGCGGCUUUCUGGACGCACACUGACGCUCAGGCGCGAAAGCGUGGGUAGCCAACAGGAUUAGAUACCCUGGUAGUCCACGCCAUAAAGCGAUGGGUAC